GCCGCUAGCAAGUCCCACCUUCAGCCCUAAGGCAGUUUUCUCCCAUCUCAGUAAACAGAACAUAUUAUCGGGUUUUACACCGAGAUGUUCCAUUGCCCAGGCAGGGGCAGGAGACUGAUGCCUUUCUCUAUCUCAAUUGCCCAGAGGCCUUCUUUCCUCUUAUACUAGUCCUCCUCAGCACAGACCCUUCAUGGGUGUCAGGCUGGGGGACGAUCAGGUCUUUCCCUUCCUACAAGGCCAUAUUUCAGACUGUCACAUGGGGAGAAACCUUGGACAAUACCUAACUUUCCUAGGCAGAGGUCCCUGCGACCUUUGGCAGUGUACGUGUCCCUGGGUACUUGAGAUUAAGAGAAUGGUGAUGACUGUUAACAAGCAAGCUGCCUUCAGUCACUUGUUUAACAAAGCACACCCUGCACAACCCAAAUCUGUUAAACCUUGAGUCACCACAGCACAUGUCUCUUGCAAGGACAGGGUUGGGGGUAGGGUCACAGAUUAACAGUAUCUCAAACACAGAGCAAAAUGGAGUCUCUUAUGUCUACUUCUUUCUAUAUAGACACAGUAACAGUCUGAUCUCUCUUUCUUUUCCCCACAAUGGUGACCUUGCAUGUAUCCACUUAGGCAGAGUCUUGGCAGAACGCCUCAUGGCCUUCCUGGAUGUGGGAGGCUGAGAGGCCUGUGUACAGAGCUGCUGUGAGGCGAUCUUCUGUUUGCCUCCUUAUCUCUCCUGGGAAGCUGUCAUGAGACUGUUUCUCAUAUCCUGGGGGUUCUGGUGACACGGAGGAUUUCUGUCCUGGCUUCCUCAUAAUAGCGCCUCUAGGAUAAGCACCUCAGCAACCGGGGAUCCCAUAACUCACACUGCAGUCAUCUGGGUCUUUGUUAUGGCGUCAUACAUUUCGUGGUAUGUAGGACAAACAUCACAGAAGCUGGUACAUUUAUUCUUUGUGCUGUCUACUGUUUGGGUGAGGGAGAAGGGACAAGAUGGAGGAAGGUGAACAAGAUGGAGCAGUACCUGUUGUUUCCGGGUUCUUCAUCACCAACUUACCCGAGCACGGGGAAAAUGCAGCCUGCGCCCGGGAAGAUGCAGAUCAACGGAGCAUGAGCCAGGUGGUGCCGAAACCUGGGAGGAGACUCCUCCUCAGGGCCCCCCAAGGUCCGAGGAGCCUCCUCCUUCCACACCGCGGACGGACCAGGACCUAGACAUCGCUUUCCACACCUCCAAGUCUCCUAGGGGUGAGUACCUCUUGCCUCCCUCUCAUACUCCUUGGCCAGAAGUCCUGUGCAGACCCAAGGCUUUUGGUCACCAGGUGACCCACAGGAGAGUUCCCAAAGGUAGAGACGUCUGCCCAAAGGAACUCCAUUCCAGUCUGAGUGAGACCCAUCCAGGACGGAGACGUCUGCCUGGAGGUAAUCUCCAUUCCGGCUCCAGGAGCCAUCCGGUCUCUAGUGGCUCCAAAGGACGCUUUGUAGCAAGAUAGAGUUCGGUUUCCGCCUUCCGCGAGAGAGAGGCAAUGGGAAAUCCCCAAUCCAAAAUACCAAGAGACACCCCUUUAGGGUGUCUUCUGGCCAAUCUCAAAACUUUACAAUUAGCACAAGAUCUUAAACGAAAGCGACUAAUUUUCCUCUCCACGGUGGCAUGGCCGCAAUACAAGUUAGAUAAUCAGUCUCAAUGGCCACCAGAAGGAAUCCUUGACUAUAAUAUUUUACUUGAUUUGUCUAAUUUCUGCCAAAGGCUAAGAAAGUGGUCUGAAAUCAAUUAUGUCCAAGGCUUUUAGGACUUGCGCUCUCGGCCAGACCUGUGCGCCCAAUGUUCAAUGGCCCAGGUCUUGUUAGCAAAAACCCAGCCCUCGGCCCCCACCUCAGCAACUGAGGAGGACUCCACCUCCAUUUCAGAUAGGGCUGAGGGCAGGCGACCUCCCUCCCGACCUUCCAACCCCUCCCCUCCCUAUGGACCUCCCAACGGCCCUCCCUCAGCCACUCCCCUUACCCCUCCCUAUGCACUUCCCACCGCCCCUCUGGACACUCCUCCCUCAGCAGCCACUCCUCUCACCUCUCCCAUUGCAGCCCAUACCGGUUCAAAGACUAUUAUACCAAACCUUACAAAUCAGCCUUCCACUAACUAACCUAACCCUGCCCCCCCUACUAAUCUACUGGCCCCCGCUCUGAGAGGUCACCGGAGCCAAAGGACUAGUUAGAGUCCAUGUCCCUUUUUCCUUGGCAGAUCUUUCCAAGAUUGAAAAACGGCUCAGCGAUUUCUCUGCUAACCCCACCCUAUAUUCCAAAAAAUUUAGGUACCUUUGUCAGGCAUAUGAUCUAACCUGGCAUGACUUACAGGCCAUUUUGUCCUCCUCCCUUAACCAAGAGGAAAGAGAGUGCAUUCUCGCAGGCGCCAGGCACCAUGCAGAUCAAUGGCAUUUGACCAAUGCCACCGUCCUGUUAGGAGAGAUGGCUGUCCCGUCCAUAGAACCAGAUUGGGACCACCAACCACAGCAGCCCGGCCGCCGUAGGAGAGACAUUAUGGUUCAAUGUCUCUUGGCCGGUAUGCAGGCAGCCUCUAACAAAGUGGUCAAUUUUGAUAAACUAAAGGAAAUCAUCCAGUAACCAGAUGAGAACCCGGCUUCCUUCCUAAAUCGCCUUACAGAGGCACUAGCCCAAUUUACCCAGCUAGACCCCACCUCCCCAGCCGGGGCAGCUGUCCUAGCCUCCUAUUUUAUCUCCCACUCAGCCUCAGAUAUUCGAAAAAAGCUAAAAAAGUUGAAGAUGGGCCUCAAACCCCCAUACAGGACUUAGUAAAAUCGGCUUUUAAAGUUUUUAACUCCAGAGAAGCAGCAGCUGAGGCUGCAGAGCUAGACAAGGAGAAAAGAAAGGCUGCGCUUCAGGCGCAAGCUUUAGUGGCUGCCCUCCAACCAGCGUUGCCCACUCUGCCAGCAGGGAAGACACAGGGCAAGUCUCCUAAGGGCUCCUGCUAUAAAUGCGGAGACCCAGGACACUAGGCAAACCAGUGUCCCCAGGCCAAGCUGGCCACUCCAUCUCGUCCAUGCUUUAAGUGUGGCACAACUGGGCAUUAGGCAAAACAGUGUCCAAAUCCUCGCCUGCCUACCACACCGUGCCCAACCUGCCAACAGGAAGGACACUGGAAGUCUGAUUGCCCCGCCAGCAGGGCAGGCAUUGCGCCUCAACGUGGUGCCUCUCCUCGAACGUCGGAAGGCUCCUUCCAGCUCCUACACCUGGACGACAACUGACGGUGCCCACACUCGGAGACCCCGGUCACCCUCGCCGAGCCCAGGGUAACGCUACAGGUAGCAGCGUCCAAGAAAUCACCCGAGUCACCUUCAAUCAAAUGCUCCUGCAUCCCUACACCCAACUGCCAACCUCAGCCCCUAACUACGCCCCUUAACAGCAGGAAGCAGCCAGACAGACCACGGCACCCCAAAUUCUUAUAAUCAAUAAGAGGUUGGACUGUUUGGGUGAGGGAGAAGGGACAAGAUGGAGGAAGGUGAACAAGAUGGAGCAGUACCUGUUGUUUCCGGGUUCUUCAUCACCAACUUACCCCUGCGCGGGAAAAUGCAGCCUGCGCCCAGGAAGAUGCAGAUCAACGGAGCAUGCGCCAGGUGACAUCAAUCCGAAGAGAUCGAAACUUACCCAGCCACGCCUAUGGAGAUGCCCCUAUCACAUCCUUAUCCCGCCCACUGCCCUCCCCCUUCCAGUACCAAUGCAUAAAAGUCCGCGGCCAGCAGGAGCCGGCAUGACUUCUUCGGCCCCCGCAUUCGUGGACCGGGGAACCUCACCGGAGAGCAAGGGCGCGACUUCCCUGGCCCUCCACACCUGAGGACCAGAGAACCUCGCCAGAGAGUGUGUGCAUAUUUGCAAUAAAGGGCUACUGCUUUCUUAUGUACUUUGGCCUCAUGUGUAAUUACUUAGCUCUCCUAAAUUAAGUUACAUUAAAUUAAAUUAAGACAUCUACGUAAGUAAUAAA